AAGCAGGAAAAAAACUUAAAGCAAGAAGAAACCAGUAUGUAGUAGAGAGAUGUGAAGAAACGUCCAGGUAAGUCAAUCAUGAAGUAACUCAAAGACAGACUCAACACCUUAAUUACUAUGUAUUUCCAAACUGGAGCUGACCAAAGAAGCUUCUAUUUGCACAGCCUAUGGGACCAAAAGGUAUUUUUAUCCCCAAUGCUUUCUUGGAAAAUAAAAAGAAGUAAAAAUACAUUAUUCCAAAACAUCAAUUAACAUGUUCAGAAAUUGCCAUUUAAGUUUCUACUCAUAGAGUGAAACACAGAAACUUUCUUUAACUAUUGCCAGAAUAGACAAUUUUUAUUAAAAAAUCGCUGUUCAGUGGUGAAACCACAGGCUGUAUAAGAUUUGUAGGGCAAGCAGAGAUUAUUAUAUUUACAUGAGCAAAUUUCUAAUAUCUAAUUCUGAUUUCUAAUAUCUGGUUAGAUUAAAUGGGUAGUCAUUAGAAAGAACUGAAGGUGAUACUAAUUAAAAUACAUUUAUAAUAACUGUGUAUAAUACAUAUGAUUUAGAUAUAAUGAAUAUACCUAAGCACACACAUAUAAAUGACCUUUCUAAAAAAAAGUAAUAAAUGAAAUCUAAAAUUAAAUUAUAGGGUUAUAGGUUAAUUUAUAAUUUUAUUAUACAGUUAUAGGUUAACUGAUGACUCCAUGCUGAACCUCACAGUUAAAGCAUUCUAUAGUGGACAUACCCACUAUUUGACAAUGUGAAUGUUGCUUUCUUGGCACUGUUGAUAUUGCUUGAUAUUGUGAUGCACCAACCAUCUGAUUUCUUUUCUGAAUGUAUUUAUCUUCAUUUGUUCUUUGUAAGGAUUUUGUUUCUAGUCCUUGUCUUGAACAUUGUUAUUGUUGUUGAAUUUUAAGCUUUUUUCAUUUUGUGAAGGCAAAGGGUGGAAACCUUAUAAAUACAUGUAUAUGUAAAAGGAAAAUAAAAGUAAGACACAGAAGACUAACUUUUCAUUCAGCAAAUAUUUACUAGAGUUUUACCCUGAACAAGAUUAUCUGCUGAGUAUUUUGGGAUAACAGUAAAAAAUCAGUUUUGAACGCUAUACUCUAAAAUAGUGUGAUCUGAUAUAAAACAUAUGUUCAAAAUAAGCUUUUUACAGUGUUGUCAUCUUUACUGGGCCAAUAUUUACAUUAAAGCAAUGAUGGAAAAUACAAAAGAAAAUGAAAUUUAAUUAUCUAUCUGUGUUAAUUUGAAGAUUCCACAAUAUUUUUUAUUUUUAUUAGUUCCCUAAUUGACCUUCAUGACAAUAUUCCAACUAUGAAGACACUGGGUUCUUUUCUGAGACUGCAGUCUUCUAUUUGUAAAAUUCGCAAAUUGAUUUUCCAAGUAUUAAAGAACUGAAUCAAUGUAAGUUUCAAUAUAUUUGUUUCCUUCAGUUCACAAGGAGAGCUCUAGACUAUACACUUCAUGACUUAGGUGUACAGUAAGAGUAAAGAUGCAAUAAAAUAUUUCUAGUAAUAAACACUUUAAUCUCAUAUGGUAUAGCACACAGGUUUAAUUACAGGAAUUGUAAUUUAUGAUAUUACUUACGAUGAAAAGACUCUGGCAAAUUCACCUGCUUCUCACUGCCAUUCUGGUGUUAUUUACAUACAAAAUGAUGGUUCCAUGCUACACACUAUUGAUGAGGUCAUGGCCAGACCAUCAUGUUGCCUCAUAUUACUACUGGUCUCCCCGCAGCCAUUAGUGAGGUAUGUGGACACAGCUUCUUGUCCAGGACCAGAAGCUGAGCAAAUAAGUGCUGUCACUGCAAAGGUAUAACUCAAUCCUUUGCAUCAGGAUUAUCCUUAUCUUUGAACAAACCCAGUUCUUCUGGACCAAGAGAAAAUAAAGCUUCUCCGAAUUCAGGUGUAAAAUGAAGUGUCUGAAGAAGGGAAUGGAGAUGACAGGAUCUACCGUGAUUUCUGAUUCUGCUUAAAUUGGUGAAUUUUCUAGGAGCAGUUGACUUCAAAACUUUAGUGUUUAAUUUUUUCCCUUAUCCAUACUGAUUAUUUGGCACACUGGAAUAAUCCUCUCCAAAUAGAUCCCCAAACGUUGUACAACUAAAUAUUACCUGGCUAAAGCCCAGCCCCAGCCCUAGCCUGAAUACUCAGUAGAUGAACCUGCCCCAACUGGGCACCGCCAUGUUGGCGAGGGUAUGUCUUCAAAAUGUGAUUUUCUUAAUUUUUAAUUUUUUUCUAAUUAUAAAGAAAUUUAUUUGAGAUCUGAGAAUUAUGUUUGUGAAUUUGCCACUGUGCGCUUACAGUGGCAACACUGUUCAAACAACUCGGCAAGGUUCCAUAAUCUCAGUAUAUCAGUGUCUCACAGUUGUGUUCUCAUUGACUUGUUUUGGUGUCUUGCUGCAUUUUGUAUAUUUUUAUUAUUUUGUGUUUUUGUGUGUUCUUGGGAGAAUGUCAGAGUUUGACUCAGAGCAAUGAACAAACUUUUGGAAAUUUCUUCUUCUUCUUUAUUUUUUUGUGAGAUACUGUCUUACUAUGUCACCCUCUGUAGAAUGCUAUGGCCUCAUAGCUCAGAGCAACCUCAAUCUCUUCAGGUACUCUAGCAAUUCUCUUGCUUCUCUCUCAAGUAGCUGGGACUACUGGCCCCCAAAUUAAUGCCUGGCUAUUUUUCAAGACAGGGUCUUGCUGUUCCUUAGGCUGGUCUCGAACCCAGGAACUUGGGCAAUUCACCUGGCUCAGGCUUCCAGAAUCCUGGGAUUACAGGCUUGAGGGGGCAAUCUUUUUUUUUUGUUGUUGGUUUUUUUGAGACAGAGGCUCAAACUGUUGCCUUGGGUACAGUGCCUGGUAUCACAGCUCAUAGCAAUUUCAAACUCUUGGGCUCAAGCUAAUCUGUUUCCUCAGCUUCCCAAGUAGCUAGAACUAUAGAUGCCAGCCACAAUGCCCUACUAUUUUCUGUUGUUAUUGUUGUUAUUGUUGUCGUUGUUUUUGCUGGCCCAGGCUGGGUUCGAACUUGCCAGCCUUCGUGUAUUUGACCAGCGCCUUCCACUGAGCUGUUGGCACCACCUGAGCAAGAAAUAUUUUUUUAAAAAGAUAUUUUACUGACAUUCUUAAUGUCAAGGAAAAUACAACAGAAGCCAUGAUGGACAUUCUGAGAAAACUAAAGACUUACAAAAUUGCAAUGAAGGGUAAAUUACCUAGCUUUCCACAUAGAGUACUUUAAAUAUGACCAUAGUGAUAUUCAGGAAUGAGGUAUGUAACAGGGUCUUGAUACAAUAAAAAUGUCAAGUUAUAACAAUGUACAUGAGGAGAAAAUCUUUAGUUUCCUCCAAUGAUUCAUAGAAGAAACUAUUAACAGUGUUUAUUUUUCUGGAUACUUCUUAUGAGUUUAUAAAUACACAUUUUGACCUUUAAAGAAUAAGUUAUAUAAUUUUCCAUUGUUCUUUUAUUUACUGUUUUCUUAUCUAUGGUUAACUGACAUGUAUUUGUAUCAGUCUGAGAUCAGUUCUGAGGCCUAUUUCAUAAAUUCUCAGGACUAGUGUCUAUUGUAUGUCAAUAAUUCUUACUGUUAAAAUUCGGGUGCCAACACAACUGAAACAUGUAAACUAAAAAUUUUAGUGUACAUGUAGGCACUUGUCUUUGAAGAUAUGUUCUGAUUUUAAACUGAUUUCUAGUUUAUCAUCAUUAAAUUGUUUUCAUUUACUGGAAUAAUAAAAUAUCUUACAACUACAAUGAAAACUGUGGGUUUGGGAAGCUCAAGGUUGGAAUGAAAAAUUAAAGGAAAAUAUGACUUGUGAUUCACACAUGCAGUUAAAAUGAAUUUUAUUGGAUAAAAUGCAAAAUUAUCUAAAAUUAAAAAUAAUCAAAACCACUAAUGUUUUCUUAUGCUGUAUAAUAUGAAAUUAAGUACAUUUAUAUGAUAAAGUGUUGCAUGAUCUCAGUGUAAAAUGCCAAUGAAAUAGAGCAAAAUUUGCCAUGCAGGUAACUAUCACCUGUAGUCCCAGUUUUUUUGGAGACUAUGGUGGGAGGGUUUUUUGAGCACAUGAGUUCCAGACCAUCCACAACAAAAGUGAGACCCUUUCUCUAUUAAAAAUAGAAAAACUAACCUCAGCGCUCAUAGCACAGUGGUUGUGGAGUCAGCCACAUGCACCAAGAUUGCGGAUUCUAGCCCUGAGUCAGCCACAUGCACCAAUUGUGGAUUCUAGCCCUGAGCAGGACAGCUGAACAACAUUUGCCACUACAAAAAGAAAAUAACCGGGUAUUGUGGUGGAUGCCAGUAGUCCCAGGUACUUGGGAGUCUGAGUCAGGAGAAUUGCUGAAGCCCAAGAGAGUUAGAGGUGACUGUGAACUAUGAUGGCUCGGCACUCUAAAAAAAUAGAAAAAAUUCACAAGGGUGAUGGUGCACACCUGUAGUCUCAGCUCCUUAGGAGGUCAAGGAAAGAGGAUUGCUCUACAUCAACUAUUUGAUAUUGAGCUAUGAUGCCAUGGCAGUGUAGCCAUGGUGACAGAGUGAGAGUCUAUCUAAAAACAAAAAUGCAACAAAUGUCACACAAAGGUCAAUACAUUUAUUAGAUUUAACAUCGUAUAAUAAAAUAAGAUCCAUCAAAAUAAACAGAAUUUGAAAAUUAGGCAAAUAAUAUUAACCAGGUAGAGGAUUUUUUUUGUUGUUGUUAGUGACCAAUAUUAAAAGUAUAGAGGAGGAUCGGGGCCUAUUGCUCAUUGGCAAGGGUAGCAGCCACCUACACCAGAGCUGGAGGUUUUGAACCCAGCCCAGGCCUGCCAAAGAACAAUGACAACUACAACCCCAAAGUAGCUGGGUAUUGUGGUGGGCACUUGUCCCAAAUACAUGGGAGACUAAGGCAAGGGAAUCGCUUAAGUUCAAGACUUUGAGGUUGUUGUCCGCUGUGACACCAUACCACUUUACCCAGAGGAAAAAAGUGAGAGUCUGUCUUAAAAAAAGUAUAGAGGGAGCAGUCUUUUGAUUAAUGUUUUAAUGUUUUGUUGAUAUUAGAGAGGAGAUAUGAUGAGAGAAGUGGUAAGAAGGAAAGGUGGGUAUCAGAGAAAAAAGAGGAAGGAGAGAAUGAAAGAGAUGUUACAUUGCUGGCUUUAAAGAUGGAAGAAGAGGGUCUUAAGCCAAGGGAUGUAGGCCUCCUCUAGAAGCUAGAAAAGGUAAGGAAAAUAAUUUUUCCCUGGAGGUUAUAACAUACUAAGAUGGCGGCCAAGUAACAGCUUUCUUGCAACUGGGCACAGUGAGUUUGGACUCCAGGCAUCUCUCUCUGAUGGGAUCUGCCCAGAAACAUCCCUUUGAGGACACAGGGAGUCAGCGUGAGACCUCUGAACCCCAUGAGGAGGACCAGAGCAGUGGAAAACUGACAAGUGUUUGCAUGUGUUCAUUCCGUCUAAUCCCACUGGCAGCUGUAAGUACCACAGAAGUGAUAUUGAAAACUGGAAACGCCUUACCCGUGAGCUGUUUUUUUUUUUUUUUUUUUUUUUGACUUGGCACUCAGUUAAACUACCUUGGGAGAACUUGGGCAAGAGUUCAGAGAACUUUAAGUGUUGUUUAGAGCCCAAGACUAAGUCACUCAGCCGGUUGGAGCUAAUAGUGUUCAGCUGUAGGCUGCCUGGAGUCAUUGUAGGAGAACUGCCCCAGCAAGCUCCACUCUCAGUGAUGCAGAGCAAGGUUCAGGUGGGAGUGAGUAAUCUAGUGCUGUCUAGAGCAGUCUAAAGGGGGGGGACUGAGACACCUUACAGCCUUAACCCUCAGGGGCAUAGAAUGAUACCAGUUUUGGCCCACUGGGUAAGUGGAUAGCCACUUCAGGAGUGAUCCCAGUGACAAGUGCUUUUCUGGGAAAGCUUAAGCUUAGCCAAGGUUAGCAGUUUAAAGUGACUUGUAAGUGGGCAGAGGAGAGAUUUAGGCUCUGCACCCUGAGGGGUUUGAGAAAUCACAGAGGCCAAAAGUCUUCAUCUCAUACAGCUGUACCAGCACUGUGAUUAACAACUCAUACCCAAGAAGAUCACCUGAUGUCCCAACAAUAUCCAGCAAGAUAUAUAUAAUGCCUUCUUUUUGGUUUUGUUUUUUGCUUUUUUGUUUUUAAUUUUAACAUUUUCCCUAUAGAAUUUUCUUUUCUUUUUUUAUCUUUUCUUUCUUCCUUUUUCUAGUUUAAAUACAAUUUCCCAUUGUUGCUUUUUUCAACAAUUAGAACUUCAUUUUUGCUAGUGUUUCUACCACUAUUAUUUGUUUUUUUCCACAACUUUAUCCCAUAAAGUUUUCUGUUUGCUUGUUUUGGUUUCAUUUAUAGCAAUUUAGCCUUUCAUCUCUACUUGGUAACAGUGGGGUACUGUGUCUGAACAGGCUACCAAAGAGCUGCUGACCACAAGGGAACCACCCAACAUGGACCCCCCAAGGUUGGGGUUUUUUAAGGAAUUCCCCCAUCUGAGCUAAAAUCGGAUUCUGUGAAUAAAAUGAGCGAGUGAGCACCUCUAAGUGAACACCUUAGAAGCCCUAGUCUAUGCUGGAUAAUCAGGAGCUGAAGAUGUCACUUAAAAUUGAUUCUUCCUUUUCCAGAGUCCUGUCAAGAAGCUCCCAGUUCCCUGGCCAGGGAAUACUGGGUUAAUCCUUCCCCUAUCACCUCUCACAUGGAAGAAUCAAAUCUUAUCUGGUCUAGCAGAGCUGUUUUUGGCUUUGAGCUUUGAUAUUUGGAGUUCUCUUUAUCAUGUGCAGUGAGCUCUAAUUAUGGUGCAAAAGUAAGAUUAGAAUGCUCAGCAACUGGGCAGCACCUGUGGCUCAGUGCAUAGGGCACUGGCCCCAUAUACUGAGGGUGGUAGGUUCGAACCCAGCCCCGGCCAAACUGCUAAAACAACAAAAAUAGCCGGGCAUUAUGGCAUGUGCCUGUAGUCCCAGCUACUGAGGAGGCUGAGGCAACAGAAUUGCCUAAGCCCAAGAGCCAGAGGUUGCUGUGAGCUGUGAUGUCACAUCACUCUACCGAGGGUGACAAAGUGAGACUAUAUCUUAGAAAAAAAAAAAGGAAAAGAAUGCUCAGUGCCCAUAGCACAGUGGUUUCAGCGCCAGCCAUAUACACAGAGGGUGAUGGGUUUGAACCCGGCCCUGGCCAGCUAAACAACAAUGACAACCGAAAAGGAAAAAAAAAAAAAGCCAAUUGUUGUGGCAGCACCUGUAGUCCAAGCUACUUGGGAGGCUGAGGCAAGAGAAUCUCUUAAUUCCAGGAAUUCAAUUUUGUUGUGAGCUGUAAUGCCACGGCACUCUACCAAGGUUGGGAGACUUUAUGAGACUCUGUCUCAAAAGAAAAAAAAAAAAGAUUAGAAGACUCCUUUGUCAUGAAGCCCAGAGCUCAUAGUCUAUCUCUGGGAGAUGUUUGUGGGUUAAUUUCUCAACUGAAUCAGUUCAGUUGUAUCAAAGUAAAUAGGAAAAAUUCUCAUCCAGGGGAUAUAUCCUGCAUUCCUCAAAGCUCCUUGACAGAUAUAAGCCAUUUCUUAUUUCCAAUCUAAGAAUGAAAGACUACUGGGCGGCGCCUGUGGCUCAGUGAGUAGGGCCACGGCCCCAUAUGCCGAG